AAACUGGUAAGUUAAUUAAACUGUGGGGUUCAUGUCUCCAUUUUACACAUUGUUGUGUCUGGUUGA
rnacentral:tRNA from 4 species